rnacentral:RNase_P_RNA from 1 species
GCGAUGAACCAGGCUGCCGCCGGAUAAGGGCGCUAUACGUACCUUUGUUCGGAGGAAAGUCCGGGCUCCGCAGGGCAUGAUGCCGGGUAACACCCGGGCAGAGAGGGAGAAUUGGAACUAAAGUUCCUUGAGCUAAAGCUCCUGGAGCUACGGCUGCCAAUAUUCCCUUUUCUGACAGAUAGUGCAACAGAAAGUAUACCGCCGCUUUAUUUUUCGGGUGAAAGCCUCUAAAAUAACAGGUAAGGGUGAAAUGGCGGGGUAAGAGCCCACCGCGACAGCGGUAACGCUGCCGGAAAGAUUUCAGGCUUUGCCUGAAAAAUGGCAAACCUCAUCAGGAGCAAGGCCAAGCAGCGCGUAAAAGGGUGUACGCCUUUUUGCCCCAAUGCCCGUUGGGUAACGCAGGUAGGCCGCGUAGAGUUUAUCCGCAAGGAUACACCCAGAUAGAUGACAGCAGAUUUUCCGCAGGGAAAAUCAGCACAGAACCCGGCUUAUGGUUCAUCGCUUUU